rnacentral:rRNA from 1 species
UACGUAGGGGGGCAAGCGUUGUCCGGAAUCAUUGGGCGUAAAGCGCGUGUAGGCGGCUCGAUAAGUCUGCUGUGAAAGUUCAGGGCUCAACCCUGAAAUGCCGGUGGAAACUGUCGAGCUAGAGUACGGAAGAGGUGAGUGGAAUUCCUGGUGUAGCGGUGAAAUGCGCAGAUAUCAGGAGGAACACCAAUGGCGAAGGCAGCUCGCUGGGACGGUACUGACGCUGAGACGCGAAAGCGUGGGGAGCAAACAGG